GAUGAACGCUAGCGGCAGGCUUAACACAUGCAAGUCGAGGGGUAACAUUGUAGCUUGCUACAGAUGACGACCGGCGCACGGGUGCGUAACGCGUAUAGAACCUACCUUAUAGUAAGGGAUAGCCCAGAGAAAUUUGGAUUAAUACCUUAUAGUAUCCUAAGUGAGCAUUCAUUAAGGAUUAAAGAUUUAUUGCUAUAAGAUGGCUAUGCGUUCUAUUAGUUAGUUGGUAAGGUAACGGCUUACCAAGACAUCGAUAGAUAGGGGCCCUGAGAGGGGGAUCCCCCACACUGGUACUGAGACACGGACCAG
rnacentral:rRNA from 1 species